UAGGGAAUCUUCCACAAUGGACGCAAGUCUGAUGGAGCAACGCCGCGUGAGUGAAGAAGGGUUUCGGCUCGUAAAGCUCUGUUGUUAAAGAAGAACGUGGGUAAGAGUAACUGUUUACCCAGUGACGGUAUUUAACCAGAAAGCCACGGCUAACUACGUGCCAGCAGCCGCGGUAAUACGUAGGUGGCAAGCGUUAUCCGGAUUUAUUGGGCGUAAAGCGAGCGCAGGCGGUCUUUUAAGUCUAAUGUGAAAGCCUUCGGCUCAACCGAAGAAGUGCAUUGGAAACUGGGAGACUUGAGUGCAGAAGAGGACAGUGGAACUCCAUGUGUAGCGGUGAAAUGCGUAGAUAUAUGGAAGAACACCAGUGGCGAAGGCGGCUGUCUGGUCUGCAACUGACGCUGAGGCUCGAAAGCAUGGGUAGCGAACAGG
rnacentral:rRNA from 4 species